rnacentral:rRNA from 1 species
UACGUAGGGGGCAAGCGUUGUCCGGAAUCAUUGGGCGUAAAGAGCGUGUAGGCGGCCCGGUAAGUCCGCCGUGAAAGUCCAGGGCUCAACCCUGGAAUGCCGGUGGAAACUGCCGGGCUGGAGUCCGGAAGAGGCGAGUGGAAUUCCUGGUGUAGCGGUGAAAUGCGCAGAUAUCAGGAGGAACACCGGUGGCGAAGGCGGGUCUCUGGGCCGCAACUGACGCUGAGGAGCGAAAGCAUGGGGAGCGAACAGG